UGACUAGGGUAUUGCCUGUACCUACGGUGGUAGGUGUCCGGCCAGUGGAAAUUGCAUGUACCUACAUGGGUAGGUGUCCGGCCAAUGUGUUUCCUGUACCUACGUUGGUAGGUGUCCGGCCAGAGUGUAUUGCCUGUACCUACGUGGUAGGUGUCUGGCCAGUGGUUUCUGCCUGUACCUACGUUGGUAGGUGUCUGGCCAGUGGAUAUUGUAUGUAUCUUCAUAGAGAUUACUAUGUAGGUGUCCGGCCAGUGUGUGUAUUGCCUGUACUCGUACUACAAACACGAGCGUUCGGC
rnacentral:lncRNA from 1 species